rnacentral:misc_RNA from 1 species
GAUGAAGAACGUAGCGAAAUGCGAUAAUUAAUGUGAAUUGCAGAAUUCCGUGAAUCAUCGAGUCUUUGAACGCACAUUGCGCCUCAUGGCAUUCCAUGAGGCAUGCCCAUCUCAGCGUUAGAAAAUAUUCUCAAAUUUUAGUUUUGUGCUAAAAUUUGGAUCAUGUCAAGGAAGCUAUUACUAUUAUUGUGAUCGCUCUUUGGAAAUUGAUAGGUCUUUGAGUUGCUACUCAUAGAACGUGAUGAAUCUUUCUUCGUUCUAUUGUAAUUCACUCUGGUAGUCCUAAAACUUGUAUGCCUGUGGCAUAUCUUGUAAUUUGACCUGAGAUUGGGUAGGGAUACCCGCUGAACUUAAGCAUAUCAAUAAGCGGAGA